rnacentral:lncRNA from 1 species
CCACAGUCAACAAAACUAAUAAUAAUUCAAAGGCUAUGCCAAUAGACUGGAAUAUCAAAAGGAGCUGCCAAGCUGAAAAUACUAGAUGGAUGGAAUAUCUGCCUCUUGAAUAUGAGACUGGCUAAGUUCAGAGUACAUCAGAAGUCAACCACAGGGAUACAAACUGAAUGAGGACCUUCUCUAAAUCUCCACCAACUAGUAUGAUGUAUUUAUUUAACUGAUUCAAAUUUGUAAUAUUGGAUUAAGGAGCUCCUGGAUAUACAGGAAGAAGCUAGUAUUCUAAGGGCUCCAUUACCCAGACAAAGGAAGAAUAAAAGAGUUAUCCAAGACCAGUGACAAAAGUCAGGAAGACUGCUGAUGGCCCAGGAUGCAGAGAGUGAUCUUGACAAUUUCCAUAUCUAACUAAGCUCUGGGUGCUCUACAGUGCUUGUUUCAGCCUCCUUUAUGGCUGUUGGAACAAAUUGCCCUUGUCUGCCCAUUAUGCUUGGGUUAGAUAUUUUUUACAUGCUUGGAGUAGACAUUCCCCUGGAUAACCAACAGGUUUAAAACCUGCUGGCCACCAUCAAUAUGAGUCAGCCUGUUUGCCAAGACAACAAGACUUGGCUAUCAUCUCUGGGCAUGCUACAACUUCUUGAAGCCACAGGCAAGAGUUCAAGAGUUAGGUGACAAAUGGACACCAAAGCUCCCUGCCAAAUAUUCAAGAUCUUCCAAGCUAACACUUAAUUUUGGAGGCCUCAAAUACACAUGGGAAGGCAUCAAUUAUUUACCACCAUCAGCUCCAUCUUAG